rnacentral:rRNA from 1 species
ACGAACGCUGGCGGCGUGCUUAACACAUGCAAGUCGAACGAUGAAGCCUUUCGGGGUGGAUUAGUGGCGAACGGGUGAGUAACACGUGGGCAAUCUGCCCUUCACUCUGGGACAAGCCCUGGAAACGGGGUCUAAUACCGGAUAACACUCCUGCCUGCAUGGGUGGGGGUUAAAAGCUCCGGCGGUGAAGGAUGAGCCCGCGGCCUAUCAGCUUGUUGGUGAGGUAGUGGCUCACCAAGGCGACGACGGGUAGCCGGCCUGAGAGGGCGACCGGCCACACUGGGACUGAGACACGGCCCAGACUCCUACGGGAGGCAGCAGUGGGGAAUAUUGCACAAUGGGCGAAAGCCUGAUGCAGCGACGCCGCGUGAGGGAUGACGGCCUUCGGGUUGUAAACCUCUUUCAGCAGGGAAGAAGCGAAAGUGACGGUACCUGCAGAAGAAGCGCCGGCUAACUACGUGCCAGCAGCCGCGGUAAUACGUAGGGCGCAAGCGUUGUCCGGAAUUAUUGGGCGUAAAGAGCUCGUAGGCGGCUUGUCACGUCGGUUGUGAAAGCCCGGGGCUUAACCCCGGGUCUGCAGUCGAUACGGGCAGGCUAGAGUGUGGUAGGGGAGAUCGGAAUUCCUGGUGUAGCGGUGAAAUGCGCAGAUAUCAGGAGGAACACCGGUGGCGAAGGCGGAUCUCUGGGCCAUUACUGACGCUGAGGAGCGAAAGCGUGGGGAGCGAACAGGAUUAGAUACCCUGGUAGUCCACGCCGUAAACGGUGGGAACUAGGUG